rnacentral:rRNA from 1 species
GAUGAACGCUGGCGGCGUGCCUAAUACAUGCAAGUCGAGCGAACAGACGAGGAGCUUGCUCCUCUGACGUUAGCGGCGGACGGGUGAGUAACACGUGGAUAACCUACCUAUAAGACUGGGAUAACUUCGGGAAACCGGAGCUAAUACCGGAUAAUAUAUUGAACCGCAUGGUUCAAUAGUGAAAGACGGUUUUGCUGUCACUUAUAGAUGGAUCUGCGCCGCAUUAGCUAGUUGGUAAGGUAACGGCUUACCAAGGCAACGAUGCGUAGCCGACCUGAGAGGGUGAUCGGCCACACUAGAACUGAGACACGGUCCAGACUCCUACGGGAGGCAGCAGUAGGGAAUCUUCCGCAAUGGGCGAAAGCUUGACGGAGCAACGCCGCGUGAGUGAUGAAGGUCUUCGGAUCGUAAAACUCUGUUAUUAGGGAAGAACAAAUGUGUAAGUAACUAUGCACGUAUUGACGGUACCUAAUCAGAAAGCCACGGCUAACUACGUG